rnacentral:snRNA from 1 species
ACGCCGUACUGACGUGAUAUCUCGAACCAAUCUUUCGCCUUUUACUAAAGAUUGCCGUGUUGCGUCAGCUGGGUAGUAGUUUCUACCGCUCCAAAAAUAUUUGGGGGCACAAUGUGCCC